GAUGAACGCUGGCGGCGUGCCUAAUACAUGCAAGUCGAGCGAAUGGAUUAAGAGCUUGCUCUUAUGAAGUUAGCGGCGGACGGGUGAGUAACACGUGGGUAACCUGCCCAUAAGACUGGGAUAACUCCGGGAAACCGGGGCUAAUACCGGAUAACAUUUUGAACCGCAUGGUUCGAAAUUGAAAGGCGGCUUCGGAUGUCACUUAUGGAUGGACCCGCGUCGCAUUAGCUAGUUGGUGAGGUAGCGGCUCACCAAGGCAAUGAUGCGUAGCCCACCUGGGAGGGUGAUCGGCCACACCGGGACUGAGACACGGGCCAUACUCCUACGGGAGGUAGCAGUAGGGAAUCUUCCGCAAUGGACGAAAGUCUGACGGAGCAACGCCGCGUGAGUGAUGAAAGCUUUCGGGUCGUAAAACUCUGUUGUUAGGGAAGAACAAGUGCUAGUUGAAUAAGCUGGCACCUUGACGGUACCUAACCAGAAAGCCACGGCUAACUACGUGCCAGCCGCCGCAGUAA
rnacentral:rRNA from 1 species